UUGAGAGUUUGAUCCUGGCUCAGAACGAACGCUGGCGGCAGGCCUAACACAUGCAAGUCGAGCGCACCUUCGGGUGAGCGGCGGACGGGUUAGUAACGCGUGGGAACAUACCCUUUUCUACGGAAUAGCCUCGGGAAACUGAGAGUAAUACCGUAUAAGCCCUUCGGGGGAAAGAUUUAUCGGAGAAGGAUCAGCCCGCGUUAGAUUAGAUAGUUGA
rnacentral:rRNA from 13 species